rnacentral:rRNA from 1 species
GAUGAACGCUAGCGGGAGGUUUAAUACAUGCAAGUCGUACGGUAAGAUUCCUUCGGGAAUCCUAGAGUGGCGAACGGGUGCGUAACACGUAUGCAAUCUACCCUUAUCUGGAAGAUAGCCCUCCGAAAGGAGGAUUAAUAUUCCAUAAUAUUAUGAGGCGGCAUCACCUUAUAAUUAAAGCUCCGGCGGAUAAGGAUGAGCAUGCGCCCCAUUAGCUAGUUGGUGAGGUAACGGCUCACCAAGGCAACGAUGGGUAGCUGGUCUGAGAGGAUGAUCAGCCACACGGGCACUGAGACACGGGCCCGACUCCUACGGGAGGCAGCAGUAGGGAAUAUUGGGCAAUGGAGGCAACUCUGACCCAGCCAUCCCGCGUGCAGGAUGAAGGAUCUAUGGUUCGUAAACUGCUUUUAUCAGGGAAGAAAAGCUUGAUUUAUCAAGAACUGACGUACCUGAUGAAUAAGCACCGGCUAACUCCGUNCCAGCAC